CUUCUGCUGAGUCUGUUUCCUACUUCUGUGAGGUCAGUGCUGACAUCAGUGAAACCACUAGAGAAAUAAGGCAUUUGCUGCUUCUGCUUUCCAUUCCAAAAGGAGCAACCUCCUCCUGCAUCCUCAUUAAUGCAGUGACUCAAAAUCCAGUGAAGUUUGAAGUCAGAACUUAACUUGGUUUUCUUUAAUUACAGGAUUUCUCCCACUUCUGACUCCAAGACCGUAUGCUGGAUUUGGCAAACAUCUCAUCAGCUUUAAGUGAAACAUAGUAGGUUCCACAAGUGAUCAUUUCCAAGACCUCCGGAAGGUGGUGCUUCCAGCUCUGUGUAUGUGAGCUGCAGAGACAUUUACUUUUGUAUAUGCAGUGACAGGAAAUGGGAUGAACCAGCUCACAUCUGUUAGCCAUUAAACAGCGAAAUAAUAACAACAAUAAUAAAAUAUUAUUUUAGCCAGGCUGACAAGAACAGACAUCAGCCAUAGAAAGCUGAAGGUGAGUCAAAAGAGGGCCUGCAUCCAGCUGAUUUCUUCAAAGGCAAAAUACUAUGUACUCUUUCCUGGUUUUGAGUUCUGCAAAUACCGCCUUCUUGGAUCAUCAUGACAUGCCAUCAGAAUGAGUGGGUUUGAGGAUUUCCUGUA